rnacentral:rRNA from 1 species
UACGUAGGGUGCGAGCGUUGUCCGGAAUUACUGGGCGUAAAGAGCUCGUAGGUGGUUUGUCGCGUUGUCCGUGAAAACUCACAACUCAAUUGUGGGCGUGCGGGCGAUACGGGCAGACUGGAGUACUGCAGGGGAGACUGGAAUUCCUGGUGUAGCGGUGGAAUGCGCAGAUAUCAGGAGGAACACCGGUGGCGAAGGCGGCUUCCUGGACACUUACUGACGCUGAGACGCGAAAGCGUGGGGAGCAAACAGG